UACGUAGGGGGCUAGCGUUGUCCGGAAUCAUUGGGCGUAAAGAGCGUGUAGGCGGCCCGGUAAGUCCGCUGUGAAAGCCGGGGGCUCAACCCUCGGAUGCCGGUGGAUACUGUCGGGCUCGAGUACGGAAGAGGCGAGUGGAAUUCCUGGUGUAGCGGUGAAAUGCGCAGAUAUCAGGAGGAACACCUAUUGCGAAGGCAGCUCGCUGGGACGUUACUGACGCUGAGACGCGAAAGCGUGGGGAGCAAACAGG
rnacentral:rRNA from 1 species